GGGGGAUAGCCCGGGGAAACCCGGAUUAAUACCGCAUACGUCCUUCGGGAGAAAGCAGGGGCUCUUCGGACCUUGCGCUAUUGGAUGUGCCUAUGUCGGAUUAGCUAGUUGGUGGGGUAAAGGCCUACCAAGGCGACGAUCCGUAGCUGGUCUGAGAGGAUGAUCAGCCACAUCGGGACUGAGACACGGCCCGAACUCCUACGGGAGGCAGCAGUGGGGAAUAUUGGACAAUGGGGGCAACCCUGAUCCAGCCAUGCCGCGUGUGUGAAGAAGGCUUUCGGGUUGUAAAGCACUUUCAGUGAGGAGGAAAACCUUAUGGUUAAUACCCAUGAGGCUUGACGUUACUCACA
rnacentral:rRNA from 1 species